AGGGACGAGGUCCGACUCCCGUAGGAGUCCGGAUGAAGACUACCUACAGCCGGAGUUCGGGGAAGAAGUCCGGCUCCCGUAGGAGUCUGGAUGAAGACUACCUGCAGUCGGGGUUCGGGGAAGAAGUCCGGCUCCUGUAGGAGUCCGGAUGAAGACUACCUGCAGUUGGAGUCGGGGACGAAGUCCGGCUCCCGUAGGAGUCCAGAUGAAGUCUUCCUGCAGUCAGAGUCGGGGAUGAAGUCCGGCUCCCGUAGGAGUCC
rnacentral:lncRNA from 1 species